GGGCGUGUAGCUCAGUCGGUAGAGCACUUGACUUUUAAUCAAGUUGUCUGGGGUUCGAAUCCCCGCACGCUCA
rnacentral:tRNA from 1 species